AUUGAACGCUGGCGGAAUGCUUUACACAUGCAAGUCGAACGGUAGAGGGGGCAACCCCUCGAGAGUGGCGAACGGGUGAGUAAUAUAUCGGAACGUGCCCAGUCGUGGGGGAUAACGUAGCGAAAGUUACGCUAAUACCGCAUACGAUCUAAGGAGGAAAGCGGGGGAUCGCAAGACCUAGCGCGAUUGGAGCGGCCGAUAUCAGAUUAGGUGGUUGGUGGGGUAAAGGCUCACCAAGCCAACGAUCUGUAGCUGGUCUGAGAGGACGACCAGCCACACUGGAACUGAGACACGGUCCAGACUCCUACGGGAGGCAGCAGUGGGGAAUUUUGGACAAUGGGCGAAAGCCUGAUCCAGCCAUUCCGCGUGCAGGAUGAAGGCCCUCGGGUUGUAAACUGCUUUUGUACAGAACGAAAAGGUUUCUACUAAUACUAGGAGCUCAUGACGGUACUGUAAGAAUAAGCACCGGCUAACUACGUGCCAGCCGCCGCGGUAA
rnacentral:rRNA from 1 species